rnacentral:rRNA from 1 species
GGGGGCCCCGGUUAUACGGACGGCCGAGUGGUAGCCACUCUUAUUGGGCCUAAAGCGUCCGUAGCCGGUCCAGUAAGUCCCUGUUUAAAUCCUGCGGCUUAACCGCAGGACUGGCAGGGAUACUGCUGGACUUGGGACCGGGAGAGGACAAGGGUACUCCAGGGGUAGCGGUGAAAUGUGUUGAUCCUUGGAGGACCACCUAUGGCGAAGGCACUUGUCUGGAACGGGUCCGACGGUGAGGGACGAAAGCCAGGGGCGCGAACCGGAUUAGAUACCCGGGUAGUCCUGGCCGUAAACUCUGCGAACUAGGUGACU